UACAGAGGGUGCAAGCGUUUGUUCGGAAUUAUUGGGCGUAAAGCGCACGUAGGCGGCCUGAUAAGUCGGGUGUGAAAGCCCUGGGCUCAACCCAGGAAGUGCACUCGAAACUGUCAGGCUUGAAUAUGGAAGAGGGUCGCGGAAUUCCCGGUGUAGAGGUGAAAUUCGUAGAUAUCGGGAGGAACACCAGUGGCGAAGGCGGCGACCUGGGCCAAUAUUGACGCUGAGGUGGCGAAAGCGUGGGGAGCAAACAGG
rnacentral:rRNA from 1 species